AAAAACAUAAUUUUAUUAUAAAAAGUAUAUAAAAGAAUUUUAUUAAAAAUUAUUAAUAAUAAGGUAUGUUUAAAUCUGAUUUAUAUUAGACAUCUAUAUUGAGUAGAUGUUACUUAAGUCAUAAAAUUCUCUCAGCAAGAUUGAUUAGUAUAGUAUAAGCUUUCUUUUAGGAACUUAAGUCAUAACAUAUUAGUAUUUCA
rnacentral:lncRNA from 1 species